CGAACAGCGGGAAACUGCUGCUAAUACCGGAUGUGUCGUAGCAAUACGAGAAAGGCCCGCAAGGGUCGCCAGAGGACGGGUCCGCGUCCCAUCAGCUAGUUGGUGAGGUAAUGGCUCACCAAGGCGAAGACGGGUAGCUGGUCUGAGAGGAUGAUCAGCCACACUGGAACUGAGACACGGUCCAGACUCCUACGGGAGGCAGCAGUGGGGAAUAUUGCGCAAUGGGCGAAAGCCUGACGCAGCCACGCCGCGUGAGCGAUGAAGGUCUUCGGAUCGUAAAGCUCUGUGGGGGGAGAAGAAGAAAGUCGGUGAAGAGCCGGCCCUGACGGUAUCCCCUUAGCAAGCACCGGCUAACUCCGUGCCAGCAGCCGCGGUAAUACGGAGGGUGCAAACGUUGCUCGGAAUCAUUGGGCGUAAAGCGCGCGUAGGCGGCUGAACAAGUUGGAUGUGAAAGCCCUGGGCUCAACCUAGGAUGUGCAUUCAAAACUGUUCGGCUUGAGUCUCGGAGGGGGU
rnacentral:rRNA from 1 species